UACGUAGGGACCUAGCGUUGUCCGGAAUUAUUGGGCGUAAAGCGCGCGUAGGCGGCGCGGUAUGUCGUGCGUGAAAUCUCCCGGCUUAACUGGGAGGGGCCGUGCGAAACUGCCGGGCUUGAGGUCGGAAGGGGAAAGUGGAAUUCCGGGUGUAGUGGUGGAAUACGUAGAUAUCCGGAGGAACACCAGCGGCGAAGGCGGCUUUCUGGUCCGAUACUGACGCUGAGGUGCGAAAGCGUGGGGAGCGAUCCGG
rnacentral:rRNA from 1 species